rnacentral:rRNA from 1 species
AACGAACGCUGGCGGCAUGCCUAACACAUGCAAGUCGAACGAGACCUUCGGGUCUAGUGGCGCACGGGUGCGUAACGCGUGGGAACCUGCCCUUAGGUUCGGAAUAACUCCCCGAAAGGGGUGCUAAUACCGGAUAAUGUCUUCGGACCAAAGAUUUAUCGCCUUUGGAUGGGCCUGCGUUGGAUUAGCUAGUUGGUAGGGUAAAAGCGUACCAAGGGGACGAUGCAUAGCUGGUCUGAGAGGAUGAGCAGCCACACUGGGACUGAGACACGGCCCAGACUCUUACGGGAGGCAGGAGUGGGGAAUAUUGGACAGUGGGCGGAAGCCUGAUCCAGCAAUGCCGGGUGAGUGAUGAAGGCCGUAGGGUUGUAAAGCUCUUUUACCCGGGAUGAUAAUGACAGUACCGGGAGAAUAAGCUCCGGCUAACUCCGUG